CUGGAGAAGACUGAGAGGGGAUCUCAUCAAUCCGUGCAAAUAUCUCCAAGGGCUGUCCCGAAUGAGUGGUCACCUACAUUAUGUGUGUCUCAUGUCAGUGUGACUUACAGCUCUGUUAGAAAUUAGCACGUGCCGUCUCUCAGAAUCCUGCUUGGUCUUAGUGACAAGGCACUGCCAGGGCCAGGUGAACCCUCAUGGAUGCCACUCUGGCACACCUGAACACGACAUUCCUCAGCGAGCACCAGCACAGGUUGGCAGUACAGUCCCUCAGCGUGAGCUGCUGGGAUCAGCAUGGUGUCGUGAUGGAAAACUGCUCACUUUGCUGCAUCUGUAAACUGCUUUAUUCCUGGAUUCCUCCUUGGAUCUGGCACUUACCUGUGCACACACAAUUCGUCAGGAAAUGAAGGUUUUAUCCACACAACACAGGCAAACCAGCACCGCUGAAAUUGGUGAGGAUAAAUCUCUGUGUUAAAAAUAUUCAUCUGGGAGCCUGGCAGUAAAAUAAGGGACAGUCAGGGUCAGGUCACCACUUGGAAUCACACUCCAACGUCUCUGAAUUGCUUUUCUUAAGACUGAUUUUUUAUGCAAAUGUUGAACAUAAGCAAAACAUUAAUUUUUUUUCCUUUUUUGCACCUGCCCAUGGAAGAGGUUUGGAACAAGAUCAUCUUUAAGGUCCCUCCCAAUCUAAACAUUUCUGUGAUCUGGUGAUGGUGGUGAAGCCAAGGAAGUGCCUUCAGUGAUGGACAUGGAAAAGACACCACCCAGAGAGCUCAUCCUGCCAACAUUACCAGCCCCUCUGACCUCCUGCUGGAAUAUGGAAACGCUCCCAAGUUUUUAAUUAAACACUGUCACAGCUAUAAAAAUAUAAUGUACAUCUUUUAAUAGCAACAUGAGAGCACUCGAGAGCGAGCUACCUGACCUCAGCUUUCCUGGUCACUUCACGUUGCAAGACACAACUCUAAUUAAUUCGUUUGCUGCCUGCAAGGGUAAAUGAUGGAAGACUGGUGAGGCACAGAAAAAAUAAGGGUCUUGAUACGACCUUAUUAUUUUAUCUUGCAGCUAACUGGCAGUGCCAGCUUUUCCUGCAUUUUUAAAAUUUUUUCUGUAGUUUAAUUUCUGCUGAUAUCCUGUUUUAGUCCUGUUCCAGAUCACGACUCUGGUGAUCGCUGCUUCACACAGAACCCUGAUUAUUCCUGUUUUUUCCCCCGAAGUGUCGAACUCCUCCUGCAUCCAGGCCGGAUUUCCCAGGGCGCAGCGCCACCGCCUGCCCACAGCCCUGCGCUCCCCGAAUUCCACAAAUCUGCGUUUUGCUCCAAAGCCGCUUUACUGACGUGUUCUCCACUUCACUGUCUCAUAACUAUAUCGGGAGGGAUUCAUGUACCAUAGAGUCAGAGUUUUUUCCCUUUGGGUGGGAAGGGAAGUUAAAUAUGAUAUAGUUCCAACCCCCUGCCAUAGGCAGGGAACCUUCCAGCUUGCUCAGGUUGAUCACGGAGCUGCUUUUAAGGUUAUUCAUUCCAUUAGUGACAGUGUAAAAGCCGCUUUUAUAUUUUCCUAUUGUGCCUAAGAGUGUUUAAAAUCCGCACACGGGGCUCUCCCAGCAUCGAUGCAGCUGAGCCUCUCACACGGGAGCACCUUUUGUGAGAGGCAGCGCUUUGUAACGGCGGCGAGAGCCCCGCUCUACAUGAAAACCUUUCCGUCGAUCGGUGAGGAGCGAACCGAGCGUCUGGGCCGGCCGGGCUGUUCGGUGC